AUGCUCACUACAACGACAACGACGCUUGCCGCUGCGGCGUUUGGUGGGCCAACCCAGGAGGGCGUCACGCUCGGCCAGGAUGGCUGGGUGUAUGGGGCUCCAACGCCGCUCCACCCAGGCGCCGGUUCUGGUCAGGAGGGCCAGCAAACUCUUCCGAGGCCCUCUGCUCUCUCUGGCCAGGCGGGCCAGGGAAAGGAGGCGGGGGGCGGCUCUUCCAUUGGUGCUAAGCACGGCCAGGAGGGCCAUGUGCUCGAGCACCGAGUGGGGACGUCUACUCCAUCGCCGGCUCUGGUGCAUGCUAACGGCAGCAUGUUCGACGCGGCAAUCCGAGGGAACCAGGGGCUCAUCCUGCCGGUUGCUGCUUCUAAUUCUGAUGCCGCGGCUGGCGCAAAAAAUCUGCAGACAUGUUGUUGUUCAAGCCAGGCGUACUGGAGGCACUCUCAGGGGCAGUUGCGGCAAGGCCGGCUGACCAGAACACGGCCAAUGAUACGGGAGUAUUUACUUUUGCUGCUGAUAAAAUUACCAUGCAGGGUCAGAAAAAGAAGAAAGAGAGAAAGGAUAGAAAGAAGGGAGGAAAGGAGAAGUCAGAGAGUGAUAGAACUCAAAUCAUAG
rnacentral:rRNA from 1 species